rnacentral:rRNA from 1 species
GAGCCAAUUUCAAAAUAUAACCGCUGGAGUUAGCGGCAGACGGGUGAGUAAUACUUAGGCAAUCUACCUUCAAGAGGGAAACAACCGGCCGAAAGGCUGGCUAAUGUCCCAUAAGACCACAGGGAUGCAUAUUCCAGGGGUCAAAGCUCCGCAAGGGGCGCUCGAAGAGGAGCCUGAGUCCUAUCAGCUAGUUGGUGAGGUAACGGCUCACCAAGGCUUUGACGGGUAGCCGGCCUGAAAGGGUGAUCGGCCACACUGGCACUGAGACACGGGCCAGACUCCUACGGGAGGCAGCAGUGGGGAAUUUUGGACAAUGGGGGCAACCCUGAUCCAGCGACGCCGCGUGGAGGACGAAGGUCUUCGGAUUGUAAACUCCUUUUGAUGGGGAUGAAUGGCCUGGUGAAUAGCCAGGAGUGACAGUACCCGUUGAAUAAGCCACGGCUAACUACGUGCCAGCAGCCGCGGUAAUACGUAGGUGGCAAGCGAUACUCGGAAUCACUAGGCGUAAAGCGCAGGUAGGCGGUUGGGUAAGUCUUUUGUGAAAGCUCCUGGCUUAACUGGAAGAGGUCAAGGGAAACUACCCGGCUAGAGUGUGGCAGAGGAAACUGGAAUUCCCGGUGUAGCGGUGAAAUGCGUAGAUAUCGGGAGGAAUACCUAUGGCGAAAGCAGGCUUCUGGGCCAUCACUGACGCUGAUCUGCGAAAGCUAGGGGAGCAAACAGGAUUAGAUACCCUGGUAGUCCUAGCCCUAAACGAUGUGCACUAGGUGUGGAAGGUAUCGACCCCUCCCGCGCCGAAGCUAACGCAUUAAGUGCACCGCCUGGGGAGUACGGCCGCAAGGUUGAAACUCAAAGGAAUUGACGGGGGCCCGCACAAGCGGUGGAGCAUGUGGUUUAAUUCGACGCAACGCGAAGAACCUUACCUGGGCUUGAACUACUCGUGGUAGCUUGAUGGAAACAUUGAGCGACCC